rnacentral:lncRNA from 1 species
UCCUCAAUAUACUUAGCCAGUUCCACCAAGAACAGCCUUAAGCUUCUUCACUGUAGCAUCAUCAAGGAAGGUAGUCGCCUCCACCAACGAAGAAGGCAAAUCAUUUGCAAACAAAGCAAAAUCAAGAAUCUGUAAGCCAGGUGUCGCGCUACUGAAGCUCGCAAAUGCAACAGCUGUCACCCCACCAGCAUUAACUUGAAAAUGCAACAGCCCUUGUGGGAACACCAUAAGAUCACCCUUCUGUAAAGUCUUGACAUAAACAGUGUUAGCCGAUGAGAUAAACCCAGCCUUGAUGAACCCUUGGGUCACCAGUAAAAGCUCGGACCCACCUGGGUGGGUGUGCAUUGGGACCACACCACCCGGGGCUAAGUCCAACCGGGCAAUGGAGAUCCCGAGCCCGUUGACUCCGGGCAGCUGGGCAGCGAAUGCUGGAGUGACAGCGGCUUUGAUGAUGUUGGAAAGGUUUCCUGAAGCACGAAGGCCUGUGGAUACAAAGUCAUCAACUGUGACUACUGUGGCUGGUUUGCAGGCAUAUCCAGCGGGGCUUUCUGGGAAUUUUACGUCUGCGACACAGAAGUCUUGGACUGCUGCGUGAGUGGUGAAGGUGAAGAGAGAAAGGAGUAAGAGAAUGUGGAUCAUUUUUACUUUGGAUUUGUGAUGUGGGAUUUGAAUGAAGGAUUGAUGAGUGUUGUGGGAUGUUUAGGUGGUGUUUAUAUACAGGGUGGAUGUGGUUUUGGUGUAAUAUGAAGAGAUAGCCAUGCAAAGGAACUGCAACCAUAGGAUUUGAUCUUCUGAAAAAAGUGGAAAAGAAAGCUGGAGUGGUAGUGACAUCCAUGUUACUAGCUAUAGACGUCGAUACAACAGAUAAGACCUUUUAGGUGAAGAAAGUUAUUACAAAAAGCGAAAAUUGGCUCUGAAUUUCCAAUCAUUGGUAAUUCCUUUUUUUAUAAUCUUUCUAUACUUGUUAAUUUUUUUGGCAUAUUAUUUUCCACUAAUUUUAUUUCACAAAAACAUAUUUUCACAAACUUUUUCAAUGAUAACCGUUUCAAAAAACAAUUCAAAAUUAAUUCCUAUGUUAUAUAAAGACCCUCGUAUAUAUAGUUUGUUGUUUUUAAGUAUGUGUUGCAUUUUCGGAAAAUAACAUUUGACAUUAAGACGGGAGAGAGUGGCUCGCUAAAGGCGCCAAGUCUACUCCGUAAGAUAUGCUAAGAAACUUCCCGGAUAAGGCUCCUUGUUAGCAAGAGAAAAAAGAAAGAGGCAAAGAGAAUAAUGGCUUGUAAUUGAUAUUUUUUCUUUUGUUAUUUUAAAUUAGUUCUUUUGAUUGGUUCUUUUCAUUUGACUUUUUUUUUUUUUCUAAAAUCCAAGUGUAAUAUUUUUUUUAUGAUAAAAGCUUAGAUGGAAGGUAAAUAUGUGAUGUGACAAUGUACUUAGCAUGUGGCAAGUAUGUUACCAUUCCAUAUAGUUUAAUCUUCAAUAUCUUCUCUAGUAAAUAGAAAUAAUUUUGUCGAUUGUCAUCUUCUAAUGCAUUAUGUCACAUGAUUUUUUCUUAUUAUUUUUAUUUUUUUUUCAUAUGUCAUUUUAUGUUUUUUUUUUCAUUUUAUUAAAUGAGAAAUUGUCAGAAAAUACUCAAUAUUUUCGAAAAAAUUUCACUUUAGUCCCAAAUUUUAAUUUUUGAAUAGAAAAGUCUCGAUUAUUUGAUUUUGGCUCAAAUUAACAAAAAAUAUUUUUUUUUCUUUUAACAUUAAAUGACAUAUUAUCGUGUAAAAUCAAAUAAUCGAGACUUUUCUGUUCAAAAAGUAAAAUUUGGGUAUUGAGACUUUUCUGAUAAUUUCCCUUAUUAAAUUCCUCAUAAUAUUAAAUGUAAUAAUAAAUGAUAUAUCAAUUUCAUUAAUGGACUUUUCUUUUAAUUUCAAAAUUACAAAAUUAAAGUCUCAUUAGUUUUCUUUGUUUAUUUAUCUAAAUUCAAACUUUUGAAAUGUUUAGAAUUUCAUAUUUAGAUUUUCUUUUAAAUAAAUUCAUAUAAUACAUAGGUCUCACACCAAAUAAUAUUUGAAAGUUUUGUCAAUUACCUUUUAAUAUAAAUUUCAAUAAUAUUUAUUUAGUUAAAUAAAUUAACUAUAAAAAAAUAUAAAGUUUUAAUAUCGAAUACAGCUAUGGGUGUAAAAUGAAAUGUUAUUAAAUAUAAGGAGAGUUUUGUCAUUUAAAAAUCUCUGAUAAAAAAGCUAUCAAUUUCUUUUCUAAUUAUUAUUAUUAUUAUUUUAUUUAUUUAUUUAUUUAUUUUGGCAAAGAAGAUGAUGUGUAGUGAUCAUGAUCACAUUCAUGUCUAUUUAAAUUGUUUUUUAGGGACCAUGAUCAAAGUGCUUUUUAGCCAACUAGUUAAUGAUAUCCAUGCGAUUCACUCUGUGCGCAUGUCUUAGAGAUAUUUUAGGUGCAUUUCUUUGCUUAACCCUUGAACACGAAGGACGUAAGACUAUGUAACAAUCCUUGAUUAUUUUAUGCAUAUGAAUAUAUACACAUAGUUUGGAGUUUAAUUUCUUCUGAUUGUAUUGGCAAAACUGUAAUUAACUAGUUUUUUUAAAAGACUUUAUAAUGCCAUAGGUUUAAAAAAAAAUUUAUUGUUGGUUCAAGUGGAAAUUUGGUGAUUUAGGUAAUUCGGUUAUCAAAUUAAUAGUUAAAAGGGCUACGAUUGGAAGUGGUAUUUUUUGCGACCAAAGGGGAUAAUGAACGGAUGGCCACAAUCUUCUUCCAUAUUUAUAAGUCUUUGGCCAAAAGUCUCUUGCUAAAGCUAAAAGUUGCAAAAUGAGUGUCUUGAAGGUUAGGUAAUGCGUUAAAUGGUCUUCGGCGAAAAAUAAAUGAUUUUAAUACGAAAUGAGAGUCUAUCAAUUUUGUAAAUAAAAUAAAAGGAUAUUACUUAAUGGAGUAAUAUAUAUUUUUAUUUUGUUCUUAUUUGGUAACAUAAAUUUUUUUAUGCAUUUGAACAUUUAACUUAUUUCUUUUUACGUAUCUAAUUUUUAUAAUCGGGUACUCGGGGCUAAACCAGAAAAAUGACGUAAUAUGAUAAUAUAAUUUUCAGUUUGUAUAAAUUUAUUCUUUAAUAUUUUUGUACAUGUUUAGUCCUUAAGAUCGGUUUCUUCGGUUUUGUUCAUGACAUCCUACGUGGGACAAUCAUUAAUGAUGUGUUUUCAUAUGUGGCCCGUCCCUCACUUAUAUCAGUAACUGUUAAAACGUUGUCGUGUACAUCUUAAACAAAUAAAAAUCACUGUUUGGUUGUACUAAUGGGUAGCUCAGGGAAGCUUGGUCGAAUCCUUAAAGACACAACCUAAAAGCCAAUAUCUCUUUACGUACGACACAAUUAGUCAAAAACAUAAAAAUAUAAAAAGAGUUUUUUGCUGUGAAUUAAUAACUGAAAAUAGCAGUGAAAAUAACUUAAUAAAAUUCAAUAAUAAAAAGUGUUUUAGUUUUUUGUGAUUUUCCUAAUUAUGUAAUCAAUACAAAACUUGGUUAUUUAAUAUAUGUUCUAUCUAGAGUGGUACUGAAAACUACUAACAAGCUCUAGUUAGUUCUCUUUUACCUAGUUAAUUAACUAAAACAAGCUAUUCAAUUAAUCCUAACUUUUUACUAACCUAAUUAAACACACUUUUAAUAAUGUUAGGAAAGCAACAUUAUGAUAUGUGUAAAAUUCUCAGCAAUAUUUAAUACUUCUAACAAACUAUGGUGAUCAUUCAAAGGGAUAGGAUGAUCAUUCUCUGGUUCUUCUCCAAACCAUCCAGCAAUGACUUCGUUCGGAAGAUACGGAUUGCCGUGAGGAUGGAGUCCAGCCAUGUUAUCUACGCGAGAAUUGGGGUAAGAAAAUAAUUAUUAGACGAACUAUCUAGAUAAUUAUUUAGAAAAUCUUCAUUAGUUACAUCACUAUUUGUGAAGUGCAUACCAGUUAUAUGUAAUCGAAACAUGAUAGACCUUCGAAUAAGUGACCUUAACUCCAAAUUCACAAAGAAUAGGGGUAAAACAAAAUUUUCACAUAUUUUAAGUCUAUAACAUCCUAGUUACAUAUAGUCUUAGUGUUUCCACUUAGCAACUAUCAACUUAGUAAUGAAGAUCCCGUUUAGUUCUCAAGUAUGAAGUACUUAUAGUAACACCAAAUACCCCUAUAAUAUUUUUGGUUUAUGUUCUAUUGUUCUCAUUGUGGUAUUGUUGGUAAGAUUUUAGACUUGUUGCAACCACACAACUACACUUAGGCACAUGCUAUUCAGCCCUCGGAUAAUAUAGUUGAUCAGGCUAUAUCUUCCCAGUUUUGACUAUAUGUCUCUAAGUCUACUUGUGCUGCCCAACAAUCGUAAUUCUUUUGUAUUGUCCUAGUGACACUAAUUUUAGAAUGAAUGCAGGCACGUAUACUUAAUUAAAUAUUUUACUAUUUAAAGUAUAAACUCUUGGUCAGAGUAUUUUAAUCCCAUUGUAUUUAUAGUCUGUAUAUCUUUUAUGGGUUGAUAUACUUAAUUCACUAUAAACAAUGCUCUGAUACCAAUCUGUCACACCCCAAAACCAUGAACGGCGGAAACGUUCUGGGGCGGAGGACGUCAUGUACAGUAUCACAACAAUGAAUAGUAGUAAACAAGCAACAACAUCAUCCAUUGCAUUAAUAAUAUAAUUUUAAUACAAGUGUUCUGAUAUGUCUAAUAGACACUAAAGUAUAAAUCAAAAUGAAAGAUGAGUCUUGAACGAGCUCCAUCUUCUCUAAACCUUGCAUCGGUACCUGUCUACUGUUGACCUGAGGAUACAAGUUAUUUUGAAAGAGAGUAUCAGCUUUAAAGCUGGUGAGAUCAUAAGUAUUUUAGUGUCUUAAUUUGUAUGUAAGUAUUUGUACGUAUAUGAAAUGUAAGUAUUUGUAUGUAUAUGAACUGUAAGUAUUUGUAUGUAUAUGAACUGUAAGUAUUUGUAUGUAUAUGAACUGUAAGUAUUUGUAUGUAUAUGAACUGUAAGUAUUUGUAUGUAUAUGAACUGUAAGUAUUUGUAUGUAUAUGAACUGUAAGUAUUUGUAUGUAUAUGAACUGUAAGUAUUUGUAUGUAUAUGAACUGUAAGUAUUUGUAUGUAUAUGAACUGUAAGUAUUUGUAUGUAUAUGAACUGUAAGUAUUUGUAUGUAUAUGAACUGUAAGUAUUUGUAUGUAUAUGAACUGUAAGUAUUUGUAUGUAUAUGAACUGUAAGUAUUUGUAUGUAUAUGAACUGUAAGUAUUUGUAUGUAUAUGAACUGUAAGUAUUUGUAUGUAUAUGAACUGUAAGUAUUUGUAUGUAUAUGAACUGUAAGUAUUUGUAUGUAUAUGAACUGUAAGUAUUUGUAUGUAUAUGAACUGUAAGUAUUUGUAUGUAUAUGAACUGUAAGUAUUUGUAUGUAUAUGAACUGUAAGUAUUUGUAUGUAUAUGAACUGUAAGUAUUUGUAUGUAUAUGAACUGUAAGUAUUUGUAUGUAUAUGAACUGUAAGUAUGAAAACGUUUUGAACAUCCUAGAAAACCAUAUGUUUCCUACUAAAAGUAUCCUUCUACCAAGGCAUCUAGUAUCUGUGUGUGUGUCUCUUGUAAGAGUGUGUAUUUUCCCAAUUCUGACUAUCAUUAACCAAAAAUAUAGCUUCUACAUUGGCGUGCAUCGUGUGAAUGUUCACGAAGUGAAUGUAAUGGGAAAACGAAAUAGUACUAUGGUGUAGUAUCAAAUAACUACAAUCGUACUAACUACCUUAAAUCUAUUGUAAUUUAAAUUAACAUGUGAUUGGCCUGUAUCCUGCUACCGACUCUAGUAAAACGACGAUGUAAGACGCCGUAAGAAAUGACAUUUGGCACUCGUAGACUUGCAAGUCCCACUGUAGCGAGCAGCAAGGUGUAGGAUAGUCAAUCCAGUAUAGAUCUAUACGCAAACUCAUACGCUCCCCAAUUGAGGAGAUUCGGGAUACAAGAGUGGUCAUGGCAGGAAGUGCCAUGACCCGCUCAAUGGUUCACAUAACUGCAUGAAUUUAUAUGCAAUGAAUGUCCUAGCUGAAAGUGUAAUCUUUCCCUGUCUAGCCUGUAUGUACUGAAAUGUUCUCUCUAUCUAGCUGUAAUGUGUGUUCUCUCUAUCUAGCAUGUAUAGUAAUGUACGGUGUGUGCUAGCUGUAAUGUGUGUUCUCUCUAUCUAGCAUGUAUAGUAAUGUACGGUGUGUACUAGCUGUAAUGUGUGUUCUCACUAUCUAGCAUGUAUAGUAAUGUAUUGUAAUGUUCUGCGUGUGCUAGCUGUAAUGUGUGUUCUCUCUAUCUAGCAUGUAUAGUAAUGUACCGUAUAUACUACUCGUACUGACUCAUGAAUGAGCUGACUCAUUGUAUGUUUUAUUGUUCUAGUAAUAGUAUUAGUAUCUUCCUAUGCUACCCAUAUGGUAGCUUACUAGUAAUGUAAGUGGUACGUAUGAACAUGGAAGUAUACCCUUGCUACCCAAGGGCAUUGAACUGACUGGAAGAACCUUUAUGACUAUAUAUGUAUACAUAAUAUAUAACUAAUAUUUAGACGACCUUCGUACGGAUAAUCGAUGCCCUAACGCCACAUCCCAACGAGGAAAAGGAGGUAAAGCGAGCUAACCUUCCUAAGUCCUUUAAACAUUACUUAUGUAACUAUACAUAUCUAGGCAUGCAAUUGACAAUAUAAAAGCAUAAAAGAAAUUUUGUAAAACCAUUGAAAAGUUUAGUAUCUAAGAAAGGAUGACUUGAUGUCAAAUUGUAAAACGAUUUGAAAGCAGUUUGUUUGAUAAGAACAAUGUAAAGUAUAAGGAAAACAUUUGUUUUGAAUCAUGAAUGUAACAGGGUUUGAAAAGAUACACUCAGUAUGCAAGACAGUUUAACAAAUAGUUUUAAUUGAGUAAAAAUGUUUUGGAAAGCCAUUUGAAGUAAAUUGUUUGGUAAAACAGCUAUAAGAGUAGUAAAUCCUUUUGUAUGCUACUUAUUAAUCACUUGUGAUUAAUAUAAUAACUAGCAUGAUUCAACUUGUAUCCCCCGCCCAUAAAGCAUUUUAAAACAUUUAAAUCAUUGAUUAAGGGGUAUGAACUCACCUGUAGCAAGUGGUUGGGAUGAACUGACUGAAAUAGGAUGAUAGGUGUCAAGUGAAGACUUGUACACCCUCUAUGAUCCUAGAUAACAUAUAAUAUCACAUAUAUGUAACCAAUUAGCCUUUAAACAACUAAUAAACAAAGCUAAGACACCCUAGGACAUGCUAAACACUUUAUAUAAAUGUUAUAGGUCCUAAGGAUUGCAUCUAAGUGUUGUAGGGAAAGGCUAGUGUGUUUGGGGUUCAAGGAAAACUCCAUUUGGGAGUUUACGGUUUUGUGGUCACUAACAAAAGGGUUUACGGUCGUAAGCCCACACACUUGUUGACCAUUUGAUGUUUGAAGCCUUAAGAGUCCCUAGAAGCUUUUCUACUUGAUGUAUGUGACCAUGGAAGUUACUAGGGCACCAUUUCACUCCUAAAUGGAGUUUACGGUCCCUAAACCAUUUUCCUUUGGGUUUAAUACCGUAAACCCAUAAGGUUUAUGGUAUUUGGGGGUUUUCAAGUCCUUAGCUCAUCAAGGUAAUUGUCUAGGUUAGAUUCUAGGCAUAAGGAAUAAAUAUGGGACAUUUAUACACUCUUUGGGGUGUUUACAGUUUUGGGAGAUCCCCAAAUCAUAAACACAUAUAAAUGAGUGCUUUUUGUGCUUUUUUUGUGAUAAACUCAUCAAGGAAGGAUCUAGACAAGUCCCUAAGGCAUUGUGAAGCACCUAGGCACCCUUUUGCACCAUAACUUGGUGUUUACGGUUCAAGAACUUCUUGAACCGUGAACACCUUGUUCUUGGUGUUCUAGGGACAUUUCCUUGAUAUUAAAAUGUAUAGCAAGCUUUAAAAGACUCUAGGAUAGAAGUACUUACUAUGUGGAAGCUUGAAAGGAGCUAAAAGUCCAAGAACACUAGUGUGUGUUCUUGGUGUUCUUGGUGAAAAUGAAAAAUCAAUCUUUUGGAAUGAUUUCACGAUUAGAAAUGUGUUAAAACACUAGAUUAAGUCAUUUAAUAACUUAAGAAGGCUAGAAACACUUACUAGAUUGAAGACCUUGAAAACUUUUGGAUGAUACUUGAGAGAGAAAAGGGUUUGGAUCUUGAGAUUUUUGGAAAAAGUGUAAAUAAUGACUAACACUCAUAUAUAUACUCCCAAAUUUAGGGUUUUGGCAGAAAAUAUUUUAUUCGGGCAGUAAACUCUAAUUUCUUAGAGUUUUGGAAUAACAGUGUUGCACAAUAAUCCUAGGGCAUCCUCUCUCCAGAUAUCACCUGAAGUGUAAAUCCUAAAAUACUCAAACUUGUUCCGAAAAGUUUGAAAUUUAGCAGCAACUUUUCUGGUUUCUAUUGCAUUGAAGGGUUGCAAAGAAUAGAAAUUUCGGGUUGUCACACAUAAACACCACCAUGCAUCAAUAUAUUACAACUGGAAUUGUUCACAUCAAGUACAUUGUUUAAACAUUACAUAUCCAUACAUAAAUUGUUUGAUAGAUAUCAUAAGCAAAACACCCUAACAUACUUGGUACUUAUUCCUUGACUUACCUGUUACCUGAGAAUACAAGUUAUUUUGAAAAAAGGUCAACAUAUGAAAUGUUGGUGAGUUCAUAAGUAUGUUGUAUUAAAAUGAUUUGCAUAAUUUGUAAAACCCAGCAAAUCCGAUAUUUUCUGAAAAGACCAUUGUUUAAAAAAAAGGUGUGAAGAUCCAUACCAUAUGCAUGAUGAUUUCAAAACAUGUACAAUUGAAGAACUUUAGUAUUUAUCGUACAAGUGAAAAUGUUGAACUUCCUCGGGAAACCCAAUGUUUUCCAAAUACAUAAAAUACAGUGAUUUCUCAAAUUGUUAUACCGCCACAAUGAAUGAGUUUGAUUACUCGGGUGGUGUUGGAUUAAUUAAGGUUUGUGAGUUGUUAUAAUAAUGCAUUAGUAAUGACUAGUUUAUAACUACAGUUUACGAACGAUCCUUAGAGGCGUCGUCCGUUAUAACUCACUUAAUCCAACCACCUUGAUUACUCUCGAUUAUCGCCCUGAAUCUGUUUACGUUGAUUACUCAUAAGCCUAGCAAACGAGGAAAAGAGGAGUAUAAGUCCUGCUACUUCCGUGAGUUUACUUUAGGCCGUCGGGGAUGCGAAAGACUCGUUGGUCCAUCUCGCAUUUGAUUACUUUGACCUUACUGGCAAUACUAUUGGAUCACUAGGGCCCAAAAGCACUUGAGAGCCAUUGAAGGUCCCUUUAUAUGGAAUUGGGCCAUAGAAGGCCCAAUAACAUAUAAACAUUAUCCCUUGGGCCCAAAGAUCAUGUUAAUGGACUUGCAAGGUCCAACAAGCAUGAUUUGAAACUUUCAAGCCCAAGUGUCGAAUGUUUACUUGUCUUAGGUAUCGCUUAUCUAUUGGAGGGUUCGAUUUAACGGUUGUUGUUUUUGUAUCGAUUCAAGACCAAUCGAUUUGUUUAUAACGAUAUUUGGAGUUAAACGUGUAUUCGUCUUUUAAUUUUUCAUAAGUAAUGGUUUUGUAUUUGACUUAAUGAAAUAAUUUGCUUAAAACAGUGGUUUGACCUUUUCAACACCUUCCUUUUUAUAAAAAUGACAGUUUUAGUCCUUUAUAUAAAAGAAAAGACAUUUUUAGCCCUUAAAAUAUUUUCUUGACACUUUUGCAUCAUAGAUUUGUUGAAAUGAUAGUUUUAACUCAAAACUUAUUUUUUUUAACAGUUUCACCCCUUUCAGAAUAGUAUUUUUCGAUUUAAUACCCAACUUUCCACAAUUUUUACAGUUUUGGCCCAAAAUCCAAAAACUUUACAUUUUUUUUUAUCCUUUUUGGAAAUGAAAAGCAUUUUUGACCCUUGAAAUAGUUUUGUUACACUUUUUAUCCCUUGAUUUGAAGAAAGUUUCAUUUCAGCCCCUUUAAUUGUCAUUUUUCGCAAUUUUGGGCUUAUUGGGCCGAAAAGCCCAAAAUUAGCCCAUUAAGCUAAAAAUUUACAUUUCAAGUCCUUUGAAAAUUUUAAUAUUCAGAAAAACAAUUAUUAAAACUGUUUUGACUCUUUUGACCCUUAAGAAACCGUGAUUUGGCAACUUUUAACCCAAAUUUUUGUAUAUUUGACAAUUUAAGCCCAAAAAUGGGUUUUAUGUUGAAGUAUGUUUAACACAAUCUUAUAAGUUAUUAUUCUUGACUUUUUUGGUGUAAAAUAACUUAGAUCAUGUUUGUUUACUUUCUCAUGUCAUAGAUCUCGAGUUAACACCCCUUUUUAGUUACAUGUUCAUCACAAAAACACAUAAAAUCAUACAUACAUGCAUAAAAUCACACAUAGCAUACACAUACACAUAGAUCUACACAUUUUCUUGUAUUCUCCCCCAUAAAACAUAUGAAAAUCGAAAAGAUAGGGGUAUGAAGCUCACCUUAAGUUGUGGUUUCGGUUUUUGAAGGAAGAGAUGAAGAAAGUUUCGAUCCUAGCAAGUCUUCUUGGAGGAUCUCGAACUUAGAUGUUUAUAAGAGGGUGAUCAUGAGUUUGAAUAGAUUAGGAAGAGAUUUUUGAUAAGCAAAAGAAUCAAGAUCAUAUAUCCAAGAAAUAACUUACCUUAGAUGAUGAAUUUGUGGAAUAAUCUCCUUGGAAAGCUUCCUAAAUCUCGAAAAUUUGGUGAAGAGUGAACAGAGUUUCUUUGAGAGUGUUUGAGUAAAACGUGUGUGUGUGUGUUUGUGUUGGUUUCGGCCAAGAGAAAAAGAGAGAGGAGGGAAGAGAUACUUUUGAGUUGACAUGCAUGAAAACAUGAGAUUUUUGCAUGGGGUUCCAAUGGUUAAAUGUGAGGUGGCAACUUAAAGUCAACUCCUUCUCUUUUGGGUUGUUGGGCCGAGAAAAAAAGAGGGGAAAGAAGGAUUUGGGCCCUUAAAUGCUCAAGCCCAAAUUGUAAACUCAUUAGGUGAUUUUUGGUCCAAUUAAAUCAAAGGAUGAUUUUUAUGAUCCAUUAGGGCUAAUUAGAUUUGUUAUGGCCCAAUAAGGCCCAUUUAAGAUAAACUAGUUCAUUUUAGGCUUGUAAGGCCCAAAAUAUUAAGUUUCAUGUAUAGGGGUCCAAUUAGAGCCCAUUUAAGAGUUCUAAAACCCAAAAAAAUCAAAUUGGAAACUUAUUGGUCAAUUAGGCCCAAUAAGGAAAUCCUAGUCCAAAAUGGACUUAAAUCGGGAUUCUUAGGGUUUCCAACGUUUUGUUGACUAUUUUAUGCGCUCUUAUAAAGUGUCUGAUGGAAGUUUUGUUGUUAUUAAAUAAGCAUCAUACAUGCUUUCACAUUGUUGGUUCACAUUUGUUAUCAUUGUUCAAUGUUUACAAGGCACCAAAUUCCUAGCUGUGACAACUUAGGAAGCAUGACCCGUGUUUGGAGAUGGGUGGAAUCCAUGUGUAGUUAAAUGAAGUACAUUACCCAAAAGGACGUUUUUUAGAGUCACAGGCAUGAAGCACGGAGUGUGCUCGGGCUUCCAGGUCGUGCUCUUCAGGCGCAAAGUAAUAAUCCUAGAAAUCUUGUAAAAUCAGAAAUAAAAUGUCACCGGGGAGUAAGCAGGGCUCGUGCUUGGGCUAUGAAACUUUAAAUAUCAAAAAUAAUGCACUGGUUGGGAUCAGGAAGCAGGCACGGACCGUGCUUGGGAAGCAUGACCCGUGAUUCAGGACCAAAGUUUUAAAAGGCCUAAAAAUCAGAAAUCUUUUGGUUAUGUUCUGUAAGUGGAGAACAGCCCAUGUUUGGUAAGGCAUGGCCCGAUCUUGGUAUUUUUUUUAGAGUUUUGAAUCCAUAUAUGCUCGAAAUAUGCAUCCAAGUUGCUUCCAAAUCACUGUUCCACUCGAAAUAUCUAAAAAUGACAUAAAAAUAUGAGCGGUACGAGAAUUUUCUAGCGAAAAACAUGAGUUGAAAUUUAUUUAAACUAACAAACAUGAAAAAGCAUAAAAUAUGAUGCAAAACACUAAUAAAAACUAAUAUAAAAGAUGCAUAAAAUGGCAUCUAACAAUAACUUAAUUCACAAAUUGGUCAAAUAAUGUUGGUGCCCUAGUUUUCUCCAAGUAGAAGAUGUUUUCAGCUUCAGGUGCAUCUAUCUCUAUAUCAUACAACAAGGUUCUUUGUUAUUGUUUCUUCCCAACUCGAAGAUAUUUUCUCCAAGUAGAAGAUGUUUUUAGCUUCGGUUGCAUGAAAGACUCUAAACUUUUUUCCAGGUUGUUCUUUUGUCAUGGAAGUGCAAAAUCGAGUUGGGAUGAAGUAAACACAAAGAAUCUUGUUGUCUACAAUGGAGAUAGAUGAAACCAAAUUUGAAUACAUAUUCUGUUUGGAGAAAACUAGGAAACUAACAAUAUUUGACUAAUUCAGGAAUUAGGUUACUGAUAUAAGUGAGUGAUAAGCCACGUAUGAGAACACCUCCUUAAUGAUUCCCCAUCAUAGGAUGACAUGAGCAAAACCUGAAGAAAUAGGUUAUUGAUACAUGAAGUGACCCUCGACAGCUAAGAUUAUUUUGGGGGUUUUCAAAGUUCUUUUGGAGUAAUGAUGCGAAGAGUUUUUGGAUGGGUGACGAGAUGAAAUUCGCUUUUGAGUUAUUGCAAAGAAUUGAUACACUAAAGAUGAUAUGCAAAGACUAGAGUUAAGGAGCUUAUCCAAAGAGUUGAAGUACAGUGUUUGAUGAUGUUUUUCUAAGGUACAGUGUUUGAUGAUGUUUUUCAAUCAAUACACAAUCAAUACAAAAAUAUUUUAUUUAGAUUGUUGUUUGUUCUCUAUAUCUUUUGUAUUACACAAUCAAUACAAAAAUAUUUUCUGUAGAUUGUUGUUUGUUUGUUUUUUUGGUUUUCUAGUUAUUUAAAUCUUAGGUUUUUUAUGUAAAUUUUAUUUUAAUUAAUAUAGUGGUUUUUAUUUUUAAUUAAUUUUAUGUUUAUUACUCAUCUAAAAAAAUUAUAAAUCAUAAAAAUCAAUUAUUUUUAUUAAAAAAAAAAUGAAGGAAGCUUCCCACACACACUUUGACUUUUGGUGAAGAAAAAAAAAGUAAAAGAAAUGAUGACGUCGCAGACAAAAGAUGAGGGAAACUUCCCGUACCACCUCUAGACUUAUAAGAAAAGGAGGAAGCAAAAUAUGAUGCCUACCACCCUAAAUUUUCUGAUUUUACAAAUGAUAAGGAAAAAAAACUAACAUCUUAAUGCGUUUUGUGGUCCAUGAGAGCACAUGGUAACGGAAUUAAGAAAUGCACAAAACAACAUAGCGAGACAGCUAUCCGAUUCUAGUAUUCUUAUUUUGUCCAUUUCCUCAAACGUUGAAUUACAAUUUACAAACCAUUCUCUAUAAAUAAUGUAUGGCAAUAACUAGUUCUCCUUUGGGUAAGGUGCAUUCUGAUUGGCUAAAGCAAAAUAUAAAUGUGGCCCAUUUUAUCAUUUUCCACAAGGGGCUUUAUUGAUUAUAUUUUAAAGAUUCCUAGGUUUUUAUAAUUGUGAAUUUACAGAGCAUAUACACAAAAAACCACAUUUGGAUAUUGAUGUUUGGGACCUCGGAGUUUUCAAAUAUAAAAUGGGUACAAAUUACAUCGUUAUUCUUCAUAGUGGUGAUUCUUUGUUUGUAAGUUUGUGGUAUCAAAAGCUCGAGUACACAUGAUUUUAGAUUUCUCAUAAAAAAAUUAUUCUUUAUUAACUGAGUUUAAAAAUGCAUCUAAUGUCAUAUAAAUACUUCUUUAAUAAAAAAAUUUGAGUUGAAGAAAAGUUUAAAAUUUAUUCACAUAUGAAUUUACCAAAUAAGACCAUAACUGUGACACCCAAUUGAAUUAAAUAGGAUUAAACAUGAAUUUAUGUGUAACGAGUACAAGUGAACAUAACACAUAGUAUAGGGCCUGUAAUGUAAAUAAUGGGGAGUUUUUGUGUUUGGCCAAGGGUAAACCGUUACUCAAGCUUUUGAGUUAUGUUUCCUUUACCGAUUAGGACUUGAUUUGAAGAUUGUUCCUUAAAUUGAUUCAUAUAAUAAAUCGAUAUUUAUAAAUCAAUCAAGUUUAUCCCAAAAGCAAUUUGCAUAAUAAUGUUAGAUAAUUAUGGGACCACAUCAUAUAUAUGUAACUAGUUUAUAAUCCGUGGGAACCACGGUUAGAAAAUUAAUUAAACUUUCUAAGUAAAAAUUUAAAAUUAUGAAUUAAUAAUUUUAAAUAACUUAUUAAUUAAAAGAUAUUUUUUUAGUUAUAUAUAUAUAUAUANUAUAUAUAAUCGUUGAUUCAAAUAAAUACGUAAAAUAUAUCAUAUUAUAAUUUGUAUAAAUUUUAUUUAUUUUUAUUCUAAUAUUAUUAAUUUAAUGUAAUUAAAAUGUGAUUUAAAUUUUGAAAUUUGAAAUUUGAAAUGGAGAAUUAAUAGAUUGAUAAAUGCCAUGAUAUUAAUUACAAGUGCCAAUAGAUUGACAAGUGUCAUAAUAUUUAUUACAAUGGCUAACAUGGUGACACAUGGCAAAAGAACUACUCUUUUAUUAGUAUAGGGAGAAGGGAGAUGUUAUCAUUAAAUCAAGUUAUUAUUAUAAGACUAUAAAUUGUUGAUGGACCGAUUUAUAGAUAUUUAUUUACCUUGUGAGUUAAGUUCCCGAUUUGACUUAAAAUCCUCAAGAUCCAUUCCAUCUCUCACAUUAUGGUUUAUCUCCAUCUAUAAAUAUAUGUGAUGAGGAGCAGAUCGACACACACGAAAAUACACAUGAAAAUUCGUUUAAGGUUUGAUGAGGGAUUUUAGAAAGAACUCUUGUGAUCAACUGGAAAACUCAACCUAGUUUUUCAAAUUCGAAGAUUAUAAUGAAAUCAGGUAUCUAAUCGUUCUUUCUUGAUUAAGCUUUCUUGUAAUCAAAUUCGAGCUUAAGAUCCUUAUGCUUCCGCGUUUAUGUUUUAGUUAUCAAAACAUCCAACAAUUGGUAUCAGAGCCUACUCGAAUCUAAUAUCAGAAAUUUAAGUUUAGGUUGAUUAAGAUAUGUGUGAAUAUUUUAAAUUAAGCAUAUCCGUGUAAAUUGAUCUUCAACAAGAGAAACGGGUUAUGUCAACCGUAUAUUUUCUUUGUUUGGGUUUUAUUUAUUAAAAAAAUGCUUAUCACAUUUUUGCAAACCCUCAUGAUUUUUGUCGCUUUCAAUAAUUAAUAGUAUGGCUUCAUUCCUUUUAUUUUAGGAAUUAAAUAUGGAUAUAAUAAGUCAUAUAAGUUCCAUUUAAAUUGUGUAAAGUCUGUCUUUUCUGACAUCAUUUAUUAAUUUCUUUAUAAGAAUUUAAUAAAAUAGUCGUAUCUUUUAUUUUGUAUUUAAAAGUUGUGUUUGUAUAUUUGUCGGUUUAUUUUUUUAAGCUAUAAUGACACUGUAUGUACAAGUAUAAUUAUUUUAUUUAGUUGUGAAAUUUGAAUAAGGUAUGAAAUCCAUUUUUUUUAUCAUUUUAUGUAUCAAGAGGAUUUCAUAAUGAUCAAUUUUUAGCAAAUACAAUUAUAUGGGAAUAUUAUUAUGAUAGAUUUUGAUUUGAUUUUAUUGUUGUUGUCUUUUCCGAACAUAGUUGACAUCAUUAUCUUCAUAAUCUAAUUGGCCUAAAAUAUUGUGGGGCAUUUAAGGAAAUUAUUAGAUAACAUCUUUUGUUAUAUAUCAAUUUGACACCAUUUCAUGUAUGGUUGUCUUUUAUUUAUGGUUAUCAAUAAAUUCGGUUAUGCUAUUAUUUAUUUUCUUGGAAAAUUUAGUGACAUUAUAUAUCGCCAAAGUGAUCCCUUUUUUGUAAAUAUUAAUUUUCUAAGAAUCUAAAUAUUAUGGUUUAUAUGUUUAUUAAUGCGAAUAUUAAUCGAUCCAAAUGUAGGUUAAUAUUUGGCCGGAUAAAUACAUGUUCAAUGAUAAAUAUGCGACAAUUUUUAGGUUACAUGUCAUUAAUAAGUCAAUCCAAAGAGGGCUUAUUAAUUGAUAUGAUAUAUUGUCAAUUCUUAUUAUCAAAAUUUAUAGUUUAUGUGUUUAUUAAUGCGGGUAUUAGCCGACCCAAAGGUAGACUGCUAUUUGGCCGAAUAAACAUAUAUGUGGUGAUAAAAAUGCGGUGAUUUGUUUUUUUGGUUCCAUAUGAUUAAUAAGUCAAUCCAAAGAGGGGCUUGUUAAUUGACAUGAUUUAUUGUCAAUGUUUAUCUCUAAAACAAGGAUAUAUCUUGCAAGUUAGUAUUACUUAUUAAUGUUGUGUUGAUACCUUGUAAAGAUGUCAUAAAUUGAAUUUAUUGAUUACAAUUUAUGGAUUAAUAAGCAUAAAAAUAGAUUUGUUUAUGUUUGAAUAAUGGUAUUAUAUCUGCUAACAUUGAUCACAUUUAUGAUUUAUGUACUCAAUGAAAUUAAUUUUAAAGAAUAGAAUAAGGGCAUUAUGUUAGUUCUCAAUUGCAUGGAUAUUGACUUUAUAUUUUGGAUAGAGCAACAAUCUUUGAGGAUGUUGAGUUUGGGGGAGAAACAAGGUUAAAACAUUGUCCUUAAGGAGGAAUCAAUCUUGAUUCCUAUUAUUGCUUUUGAUAGUAUGCAGAUUAUGAAUCAGUAAUCGAUAAUGUUAUUCGAUCUCCUAUUCAAAAUACACAAACUCAUCAGCCUCAAAUUUGGAUAUCCUAUGUGUGGUACCACAUUUUUCAUCAACUUAUUAUCUCUUUUGGUUUUGAGGUAAAUACAAUAGUUGAUUUUGUGUAUCACAGAUUAAGUAAAAGUAAAUUUAUCUUUCUGGUUUUGGGCAGCUAUCUACGAAAUUCAAGUUUAGAUCAUAAGAAAGCAACCAAAUGGAUUUUGAGAUAUCUAUAUAUAACAAAAGGCUAUGUGAUCAACUAUAGGAAAUUCAGAUGUUUUGGAGAUCAUUUUUAUUAAGGAAGUGAUUUUAUUAGAUGCCAAAAUAGUUAUUGAUCCAUAUCAGGAUACUUUUACAUAUUAGCAUGAUGCGUCAUUUCAUGGAAUAGACUUCGGUAACUUUUUCCAUAAUGGCAGAAUAAUUUGUAGCAUGGAAUAUGGUUGUGGAAAUUUGUUACGAGGCUAAACAUUAUUGGUAUUAAAAGACUACUAAAGUUUUGAUAAUAAGUCAACAAUGUUAUAUUCCAACAACAGAAGUUCUAUUAAGUCAAAUCAUAUUGACAUAAAGUUUUCUUUUGUUCAUACAAUAGUGCAAAAUGGAAAUAUAUAUAGCACAUAUGAACAAACUCCAUGAAAGCGGAUCCUCUCAUAAAGGGAUUACCUCCCUAGGUCUUUCAUGAGCAUACUACACACGUUGGUGUGAUAUUUGGUUUUAUUGGGUGUUUUUAUGGUGCUUUAUGUCUUGUUUAAGAACAAGUAUGUUUUUCUGUACAUAAUUAAGAAUUCAGUUAUCUCCAUUAUUAGUUGCACUUAUUUGAAGUUUGAUCUCACUUCAAUCUAAAGAGGAACUCGUUGGAAAUCUAUUUAGAUUUCAAAAUCACACAUCAUGUUUAAUCUAUGUCGUUAGUUAUAUAUGUAUAUGUGAUCAUUGAUAGGUUUAGUUACCUAAAUUGUAACGAAGACCGCUUUGAUCCUAUACUAUUAUCAGGGCCGGCCCUUGGCAAGCUCACAAGGUGCAUAAGAACAGGGCCCCAAAAAGUCGGAGGGCCCAAUUUUUUUAGCAGCUAUGUUACCUAUGUUCAACCCAAAACAAAAAAUUAGGUUUAUAUUCUAUUUGCCGGCAUUUAUCAGUCCACGCAAGGAGCGGGAAAAAGCAAGAAAUUUCGGGAAACCCAAAAGAACGCUUCGGUUUCUUCAUCAGAUCUUUGCUUAGGCAUGUGGCAAGAAUUAAAUCUGCAAUGGUAUUGUUUGAUUCAUAUCAGUGAUUUUGGAGGGCAAUGAGGCAAUCAACAAUCUUCCUUCUUUCUUUUUUUCUUCACGAAAUUUUGAAACAAACUUACAACCUGUCUCAAAAAUCAGAAAAUCGUUCUUCACUUAUUUCUUUUCGAAAAUCAGAUCUUAUGCUUUGUGCCCUGUUACGAUUUUCAUUUAUAAUUUCUGGCUUUUUAUGUGUUCAUUGUAUGUUAUUAUGAUUUUGUUUCUAAUUUCUGGCUUUUCUUUUCUAAUUUUUGGCUCUUUAUUUAUCAUUUGUAUAUUGUUAUGAAUUCGUGUCUGAUUUAUGGAUAUCUUUUUUGAUAUCUUGUUUUUCUCAUCUGAUUUCUAACUUUUUAAUUAUGUUUAAGUAGUUACAUAAGCGAAUUUGAAGAUAAGUGUCAUGUUUUGAUUUUAUUUUAUUGGAUUAUAUCUUGUUCUUAUUUUUGGAUUUUUCUCUUGUUUUGUUUUGUGGCAUUUUAGUUAUGAAGAGGGAAAAGCUUCGAUAAGACACACUCACCUGAUGCCUUAGAUGUGGCUCCACAUGUAUUUCAACAUUUUAUUACAUUUUUAAUCUAUUGCAUUUUAGCAGUUGUUAUUCAGUUGUAUACCUAACGUUUUACAUAUUUGGUUACAUUAUUUAAGGAUGUUGAGGUCGAAGUUCCUUGAAGCAUGAUAUUGUUGAAGUUCUAAUUUGUACAAGAUAUUGGUUGUUUAAAGUUAAAUCUAUUUGUGUUCAUUUACUUGCUGAACAUUAGAAUAUAGUGUAUUAAUUUAUUUUGUAAGGAUGACAUUAUGAUUGUUGUUUUUUAUAUGAGGACAUUAUGUUUGUUGUUUUAUGUAUUUGCAAUAGAAAAUUAAAAUUUAUAAUUGUUUUGCUUAAAUUUUGAAAUAUUUCAAAUUUUAGGGCCUAUUUUUUUUGUUAUCGCACAAGGCCUUCAAAAUCUCAGGGCCGGCCCUGACUAUUAUGAUUAGUGGACGAAAUUCUUUAAAGGUACCAAUAUUAUGAUAACAUUCAUUAGAGCGCUUAAACAGUUAUACGUACAUUUAUAUAUUCGUGGUCUAGUGGGAGAUUGUUAGAUAAUUAUNAUAUAUGUGAUGUUAUCAUUAAAUCAAGUUAUUAUGGUAAGAGUAUAAAUUGUUGAUGGACCGAUUUAUAGAAUAUUCACUUAACUUGUGGGUCGAGUUCUCGAUUUGACUCAAGAUCCUCAAGAUCCCUUCCAUCUCUCACAUUAGGGUUUAUCUCCAUCUAUAAAUACAUGUGAUGAGGAGCAGAUCGACACACACAAAAAUACACAUGAAAAUUCGUUUAAGGAUUGCUGAGGGAUUUUAGAGAGAGCUCUUGAGAUCAACUGGAAAACCCAAACCUAGUUCUUCAUAUUCGAAGAUUAUAAUGAAAUCAAGUAUCUAAUCGUUCUUUCUUGAUUAAGCUUUCUUGUAAUCAGAUUCGAGCUUAAGAACCUUAUGCUUCCGCGUUUAUGUUUUAGUUAUCAAAACAUCCAACAAAUAAGUCUUAGCUCAUUCCUUACAAAAAUAUUCAUAUUUGAGCUUUUAUGCUCAUUGAUAUAGUAAUCAUAGUUAACAUACAGGGAAAUAUUUAAUAGACAAAUUAAAUAUCAUUCUACUUUUUAUUCCUACAAAUCCUCCUACCCAUUUAAAUGAUAACAUGCGUCACAUUAAUAUCUUAAAAUAUCACUAAAUUUCAUUAAAUGAGCAUUAAAUGUUACACAUGUCACAAUUUAAUUGGAUAGAAGAAUUUAUAGAAACAAAAAAAUAGGAGGAUAUUUAAUUUCUCUAUUUAAUAUGUAUCAAUAUUUUAGUCCAUGAUAUGGGUUAAAACUUCCAAAAAAUAAUUUGUUGGUAGGUUUCGAAAAUUUAGCUGAUAUCCUGUUUUUUUCGUUAAUUUGGUAAAAAUAUUUGGAUGUUUACGAGGAUUACUAUAUUUUUUAACAAAUAACCAAAAUAUUAUGAUUUUUUGAAGAUUAUCCUUGAAUUAGUAUAUAUUAUUGUUAACAAUUCAUUAAAGCGUAACAUAUAUUUUCUAUUAUAAUCAAAUGAAAUACAGUUUUUGCUAAUUUCAAUGAAUGAAAAUGUGGAUUAAGUACUUAUAUUGUUUGCUGACCACUUCAAACUUUUUACAUUUAUCUUAUGUAUCGUUAUGAGUAUCAUGUUAAUAUACACUAUGUGGGUGUUCAUCUGAUGUUGAUGUUCUUUUAAUGUUAUUUAACCUAACUACCAUCCGAUCUCCAUACAUUAGCAACCAUCACUUCCAUCGAGAGUUAAAAGUGAACAUUGAAUGCUAGUUUAAACUAAAACAAAUGAAAGGUGAGUAUUUAUUUAAAAUGUCAUUCAACGUUCACUCCUUAUCAUAAUGUGUGCUAGCUGAUGAUUUUUAUCAGGUAAGAUAUGGAGGUUGGAUGGUAGUUAGUUUAAAAAACAUAAAAUGAACACCAACAUCAGCGGGACACCCAUAAAAUGUAUCUCACCAUGACAACCACAAUGAUGCAUAAGAAGAAUGUAGAGAGUUUUAAAUUACCAUCAAACAAUAUGAAACUAUUUAGUCCAUCUUUCUACUUCUAGAAAUUAGCAACACAUGUAUUUCUUUUAUUUAUGAAAAAAAAAAAGUUGUAUUACAUUUACAAAUGAUUUGAUAAUAAUAAUAAUGUACAUUUGUUCAAUAGUGGUCUUAAGAAAAGUUUAAAUAUUUUGGUUGUUGGUUAAAACAAAGUAAUCAUUAGGAAAAGUUUCAAUAUUUUAACCAAAUUAACAAAAAAAGACGGGAUACCGGCUAAAUCUGCAAAACUGAUCAAAAAGGGUUUUCUGAAAUUUUAGCCAGCAUUAUGUGUUUUUCUGUUAAUGAAUUUUAAUCGAUCGNAUAUAUAUAUAUAUAUAUAUAUAUGAAAAAAUUCAAUAGAGAACAAUUAUUAAUCAAGAAAUCAAGGAACCAAUCCAAACCGUCGAAAUUUAAAACGAUCAACGGUAAAAUGAAGAGUUGUAGACUUUUACAAUUGACGUACAUCCACCGGAUCAUAACAAAACGUACUUCCUUUUUUUAGUUUAAUUUUUUUAGGUCAUGUUUUUUAUAAAAAAAAAAAAGCAAAUAUAUCAUUGUUCGUGAUUUUCAGUCAUCUUUCUAUAGAGAUCCAUAUUGAUAUAUAAAAAAUGAUUCUUUUUCAAAAAACUCACUUCAUUUUCUUUGUUUGUUGAAAAGUUAAGAUCUAUUUUUUAUAGAAAAAAAUUAAUAAAUAUAUCAAAAUUCAUAUUUUUUGGUACUCUUUAAACAUAGACUCAUAUUGAUGCUAAAAAAAAUCGAUAUUUCAAUUCAGAUUCACAUUGUGGACCUGUUCAAAAUCACAUUGCAAACCUGUUCAGAUUCACAUUGCAAAUAUGCUCAGAUUCACUGUGUGAAUAAUAGUAAGUCAGAUUCACAUUGCGAACCUGUUCAGGUUCACAUUGUGAAUCUGCUCAGAUUCACAGUGUGAAUAAUAGUAAAUUUCACUAACUUAAUUUGCGAAUGAUCGAAGAGUUGAAAUAGUAAGUUAAAUUCACAUUGUGAAUGUUACAAACUUAAAUAUUUACAGUUUAGAUUCACAGUGUGAAUAUGAACUGAUCAAACUUUUUCACAUUAUAAAUGUUAAAAAUUGAAAUAUUUACAGUUUAGAUUCACAGUGUUGUGAAUCUACACUGAUCGAGUUUUUUUUAAUCGGUGUUGAUGUUUAUUAAUAGAGUAUAAAAAAUUACUCCCUCCGUCCCAUAAUAAUUUUCCACUUUUGACUUUUGAAGUCUUUAUUCAUCAACUUUGACCUUAAAUAUUGUUAUUUGUGUUAUGUAUUACUCGUUGAAACUUAUAGCAAUGAAAAAACAUUUAAAAUACAAUCCAUUCAUAAAUUUUGCAUUAAGUUUUUUAUAUCAAGGACAAAAAUAUUUAAGGUCAAAGUUGAAGAAUAAAGACUUCAAAAGUCAAAAGUGGACAAUAAAUAAGGGACGGAGGUAGUAAUAUUUUUGGUAUAAUUAGUUUUUUUUUUUUGGAUAAAAAUAAAUUUAAAUAUUGAAAAAAAUAACAAAAUGAAGUGGGUUUUUUAGAAAAAAAAAAUCUUUUUUAUAUAUCAACAUAGAUCACUAUGGAAAGAGGACGAAAAAUCGUGAACAACGAAAAAUGUGGUGUGUUUUUUGGUAAGGGGGUGGAUUUUUUGAUAUAAUCUGGUGUGUGUGCGUCCAAUGUAGAAGUGUACAUCUAUUUCCUUAGCCGUUGAUCAUUAUGAUUUCGGACGCUCACAAUUAGUUCUUUGAUUCCUUGUUAAUUAUGGUUAUUUAUUGAACCUCAUCGUUAUGUUUAAAUUGUGAAAGAUAUUUUAUGAAAAAUCCACGAGCCUAAAAGGUUUGAUUUAGAUAACAAUAAGAUAAUNNNNNNNNNNNNNNNNNNNNNNNNNNNNNNNNNNNNNNNNNNNNNNNNNNNNNNNNNNNNNNNNNNNNNNNNNNNNCACACACACUACCCGUUUACCCGUGUCAAGCGACAUGUGCGAAUAAUUUUUUUUUUUUUAAAUUAGUUCUUAGAGACGAUUAGUUCUUUUACACAAAUAGAUUACUAUAUCUAAACAAUUACCAAUAAAAGUUAAUCGUACAACAAUUUUUUAUACGGCACAUUUGAGGUAUAAACUUCGUCCUCGUUGAACUUUUUCAGCAUUCACUAAUACCUUUGGAUUGACACGUAAUUUUCCUUUGGACAAUGCAACAUAAAGUUUCUCAUGCUUGAAAAUAGUUUUCAGUCGACUGAUUUUUCUUUAAGCAGACACUAAUUAAUUCCAUUUCGAUGAGUAGUUUCUUGUUAACGAAUAAUUUUCUAUAACUUUAUUUUGACGAACAAUGAUAGUUUCUUUAGAAACACGUGAGGUUACAAAGAACAAGAAAUGCAUCAACAUAUAUCUAAGUUUAUUUUGCGGGGAUUGUUUGAUGAAUAGUUUUAUUUAAGGUAAAUAGUUUUUUAUUUUACGUAAAUAGUUGUUUUUGAAAGAUGAUGAAUAGUUUUUUCAAUGAAUAGUCGUUUGUUAGUAUCGUUAAGAUUUUUGUAUUGAUUUAUAAUUAACCAAAAAUGACAAAGGAUAUUUGAGAUUACCAUUAGAAACCAACGUUUUAUUUUAUUUUAUUUUCAUAGCAUAAUCUGUCAUUUUUAGAAACAUUAUUGGGGUUUGAUUGGUUAAAUAAUACUUCCUCUCUUCCAAAAUUAUUGUCCACCUUACUAUUAUAGUUUGUCUCAAAAUUAUUGUCCACUACCAAAAGUAGAUAUAUACUUUUACCAUAUUACCCCUAACAUUUAAUAAAGUAAACUUGAAUAAUUACAAACACACAUUUUCCAUUGGUUUUAGAAAUGGGCAAGAGGGUCAUUUUACUCAAAAAGACAAAAGUAAUGAUUGUUUUUCUUAAUUUAUGUGUUUUUUGUCCGUGGACAAUAAUUUUGGGACGGAGGGAGUAACAAUUUUCACAAUCUAAUAUAGUGAUCGUUAACAAAGAAAAUUAUUGAUCAAUCAAAACAUCAAUUUACCAAAAUACCCAUGGUAUACUAAAAUGCUAUAAUAUCAUGAUAUAAUCAAUAUUGAUAUAUUGUUUAAAGUUUCAUGACCUAAUAAAAAAAGUUAAAUGACCAAUAUACAUAUAUUAAAACUAGAAAGGUGUACCCCCCUUCGCGGGGUGUUGGAAGGUGUCACUUUUGAAUGGUAGGCACACUAAAGUACAUUGCUAUUCUCUGCAAUUCGCCUGUACAUUUCUAUUUCUUAACCUGUACAUUGCUAUUUCUUAAUUUGAUAACUAUAAAUGAAAGAGGUUUUCAAAGAAUAUUGGUUCUAACAGUUUUGAUUUAAGAAAAUUUUGAAAGCUUGUACUUUAACAUGAAUAGCAUCCAGAAUUGGUUUCCAUUCCUCCACUUGUUCCCCUGUUCAUGUAAACUCCCAUCUUUUUUUUUUGUUUCUAAUGAUAGCUCUAUCAGGACUCAAUUGUUGAUGGUGAUGUACGUACUUCCUCGCUUGUCCCUCCAUCAAAACCCUGGAGGUUUCCAGGUUCAACCAUGAUCGAUCAAAAGAAAAUAGAAGUGACCCACUUCAAUUUCUGAAGUUAUUUUGCAUGAAUCCUCUGUAGGGCGACGAAAUCGUACCCCAAAACGAAGGAAUAGAUAAAAAUAAAGAGAAACAACAGAAGCGGGUAACCGGAAGGUCGGGAUCAGAAUUGCAGAAAGGAAUUACAGAAGAAGAGAAUUAAAGAAGAAGAAGAGAAUUAAAGAAGAGAGAAAGUCGGGUAACUGGACGGUUGCGUGAAGCAGAAGAACCAUCAACCUGGUGAAGAUGAUGGAAGGCGUUGUCGAUCCAUUCAUUGCCGACCUGCGGACAUCUUCUCCCACUUACCGAUAUUGAGCGGAAUCGGUGGAGGCCUCUUCUUUUCCCACUUACAUUGCGAGGUCAUAUGUAUUGUUUUUUUUUGGUCUAAGUCGUUAAAACAAUUUGUUACGAUAGUAUUUUUUAUAAAACACAUUGAAAGGUAAUAUAUACAAAUAAGCAAAAAAUAAAAAAAUAUAAUCAACUAUGUACUCAAUAGAAGAUUUGGGAUUCGGGAAGCUGAUUACACAUCAAAACAUUUUAUCAAAUUUGUAACAAAAUCAAUACCAAGUUUGAUUUGACAACAAUACUCAAUAGAAGAUUUGGGAUUCGGGAAGUUGAUUACACAUCAAAACAUUUUAUCAAAUUUGUAACAAAAUCAAUACCAAGUUUGAUUUGACAAAGUCAAAGUAAACAUUUUUUUUCUUGUCCCUGUGGUUGCAUCAGUCUUUCCAUUUCCAUGAUGGCAACAUCUACUUGCUCUGCUGCCACCUGCCAAGCAGCAGAAAUAAUAUAUUCAUGUGAAGACCAAAACGACAUAUGGUAUGUUGCUAUUUUUUUACCAAAUAAUAAAAUUGCAGCAUAUAAUUGGUUCCACGGUGGGUAACUUCAACCUUGAAUCUUGUCAUUGUUUUUUUGAUCUACUCAGCAUAAAAGAUGCAAAAUAAUAGUAAUAAUAAUAACACAUCAAUUAGUGUUGAAUCAUAUUAAAACAAUUUUUAAAAAAAGAAGCUAACCUUCAAUCGGUCUGCAUCAGAUAAAGGUCUUGCAGAAACAUGUCAAUUCAAAAGCUGUGUUAGAAAGUUGAUCACAGGCAAUGGCUCGAUGAACGCAGUAGAAAACAUAUAUGCAUCACAAACAUGUCAUAAAACAACAUCACGACAACAAAUUUCAAAGAACACCAAAAGAAAAGUUGCAAAUUUUUUAGUAAAUUACAAAAUUUUUCCCUGCACUUUCUGAAUUUUAUAAAGUUUUGCCCUUAUUAAAGAUUCUAUAGACUAAAAUCAAUGAGAAAAUAUUGACCAAACUCAGAGUUGUUGGAAAAAAUGAUUGGGUUAGUUCAUUAUAAUCCAAAAUAUAAGGCAUCCAUAAACAAAUGAAAGUAAGUACAUUGCUAUUUUAAACAUCCACAACAUUAAGAAAGCAGCUGAAAUUGUCCAUACCAACCAAUCCCUAAAUCACUGCAGACUGCUUAAUGUCAAUCCACCGGGUGUAGUUACAAUACGACACCAAUAACCCUACGAUUACAAUAUCCUAAUAAACGAACUCUAAAAGUACUCUAAACCAAUCAAUGAAAGUUCAUUGCUAACAUAUGCAUUUAAAUAUCCUGCAUGCCCUGUUCGUGAAGAUUGGCUAUUGAUGUUUUCUCCCCCAUUGCCUUGGUCAUCAAUCCGUGAGUAUCUACACAGAAAAAAAAAAGAAUUGGGUAUCAGAUGCAGGAAAAAAAAUCUAAUGAAAACCUAAAAAAUCAUAGAAGUUUCAUAUAUUGUUUCCUAAUUUAACCAUUUUCACCUCUUAUAUCAUGUUUUAAUAAUAAUUUGCCCUAAUGUGAAAAUUAACAAAUGAGGAAAGUAAAAAAGUUCACUUACUUCUUCUUCCCAAUUUUUUCUAUGUCCAGGAGAUGGUGGGACCCACAACUGUCCAUUCUCUAAAACCUUCAUUAAAUGUGAGUUAUCUUUUGAUGAACGCAAGAAUACAGAAGCUGACAUACUGCACACUCAUUCCUUUUGUAGUGAUGUUUGUGUUCUUAUUGAAAGUAAAACUUGCAAAGUUUGAAAGAUCUGUAAAAAAAAAUUAAGAUAAUUAAAACUCUUGUUUCCUUCAAAAUCAAUAAAGAAUCAAGAUUUGAUAGCUUCGGUGUAAGGGAUGUUUCAAUUGGUUUUAGAAAGUGAUUAUGUAAUAGUGAAUGAAAAUAAAGUAAUCAAGCCACAAAUAACAUCAUCGUUCCAAAGAUUACAUCCAAAGACCCAUCUAAAAGGGAAUCAUAAAUCAACUAUUCGUCGGAAUAGCUUCACGGCUUCUACGGAUUUUAAAUUAAAGUAAAUAUUAAAGGCAUCCGAGGCUUUCCAACAAUUGCAUCAACCUUGCAACAUGUAAGUAAAAUAGAUAAAUAUAUAAUAAUUGUUUAUUUGUUUCAAAAGAAGUGUUUUUUUUUUAACUAAAACUAUAAAUUUUAUGUAUUCACUUGUAAAUAGAAAAAAAUAAUAGAAGUUUACCAUCAACUUUUCAAUUAUGCCCCUGCCCCUUGAUCAAAUUAUUCGAAGACAAAUCAGAUCUGGUUGAAGAACAAAAUAAUAAGUAAUAUUUGAAAAAAAUUCAACAUUAAAAUGUCCCUAUAAUCAAAUUAUUCCAACGGUUUGAGAACCUGAAUCUUCAUAAUAUUUAGAGUGCCCUACAACAAAAAAGUCCCAAUAAGUAGCGAUAAACAGAAGAUACAAUAUGAGAGGUUGUCCAUUAACAAAACCGAUUUAAUAUUGUAAGUAUGUUGUUAUUAUCAAUAAACAUUAGAGCAUAGAGGUUAAGUACAUUGCUAUUUUUGCAAAAUAUAAAAAUAAAAAAAUAAAAGAAAUCAAAGGGCGAUUAGACAACCAACCGGUUAGAAACCGAAAGAUUUUGGUGUGUGUGUGUGAGAGAGGGAGACAGAGUGCUGAUGUGGAUACCUAUACCAUAAAGUGAUGAGACGAUUUGUAUGAUUCCCACUGUGAUCGUUUGAGAAUGAACUUUUUGUUCUUGCAGCUGGUAUUACUAUCACCCUGAUAAAAAAAAAUAUAACGAUAAAGCAUUGUAAGGGUAUUAGGGUAAUAAGGGUAGUUUAGUUAUGAUCAUCACAAAGUACAAGUUGAAGAGGCAUGAUUUGAAAUCAAAGCACACACUUGGCCAGUGUCCGUUCUCAUGAGAAACAUUGAACCCUUUAGCAAAUUACUAUAAUUUUUAAAAACAAACAGUUCAAUGGAUAUUUCGAUUUUUUUAAAAUACCAUUAGGCUAUUUACUAACAAUUCAGAUUUGGAUAAGAGAAACUUUAUAUAAAAAAACCUUAAUACUUGUGAAUCAUCGAAUGGCUUCAUCUUUCAGGUCCACUGUCUCAUUGUUCUUCCUCAUAAGGACCUGUAAAUGUACACAUACUUAAACACAACUGAUAAUUUGAAACAAAGGUCAUAAACAAAGCAAAAGUGGGAAAACUCGUUGACCCCAAAUAAGUAAAUAACUUCUAUAAAGCAACAAUUUAAAUAAAUUAAAAAGGAAUUUCAAUUAAUUAAGAAAAAGAAAAGGGGAAAGACAAAUUACAUUAAAUUCAGAUUCUAUGGCCUCGAUUUGUUGAUUCCAAAUGGCUGCAACAAAUUUUGUAGGCUUGGAUCUAUUAAACUGUCUAAACCAACAAACAACAACCAAAAACAUAAAACAAUCAUCAGAUAAAAAAUAAUCAAAGUACAACACCUGAUAUAUAGUAAAAAUGAUCAUAUUUCUAAAGAUUAAAAAUGACGUAACUACAAUAUUUUAUGUGAGAAUCAUGUUAUUUGAAGAGAAAUCGGCGCUUAUGGUUCGAAGUCAAACAAAAACCCUAAUCAACCGUCGAAUGACCUAUGCCUUUGAUGAAUCGUCUUCGUAGGUAUUUCUAUCGAUGCGAUCCUCUAACGUAAUACCAUCUACCCACCCGAAGCGGCGGUAAGGGGUGAUAGCGACCAGCGAAGCGGCAAAGAGAUGAAAAGGAAAUUUCUAGUAGCUGGAGAGAUGAGGCGGUGGAUGAAGAUCUAUCCGGAUGAAAACGGAAAAGGAUGAACAACAUGUGUGAUGGUUUUGAGGGGCGACGCAACUGGAAGUCGGAGGGUGUAAAGAAGAAUGACAGCAAUCAAAAUAUCAUUGGGCGAAAAAACGGUACAAAACACGUGUUGAUAUAUAAGCAGAGGAUCUAUUUUGCCAAAUGUAUAUAUAAAGAAGGACCAUUUUUGCUCCAUCCUUAGCAAAUUUACUGUAGCUAAGGAUUCCGUCCCAAAAUUAUUGUCCACAGACAAAAAAACACACAGAUUAAGAAAAUCAAUAAUUAGUUUUGCUUUUUUGAGUAAAAUGACUUCAUUGUCCUUUUUUAAAACCAAUGGGAAAUGUGUAUUUGUAAUUAUUAUAGUUUACUUUAUUAAAUGUUAAGGGCAACAUGGUAAAAAUGUAUAUCUAUUUUGGUAGUGGACAAUAAUUUUGGGACAAACUAAAAUAGUAAGGUGGACAAUUAUUUUGGGACGGAAAGAGUAUAAUAAGAGAUAAGAAUAUAGAAAGAAAUGGUCUAAAUAAAGACACACGUCAUUUGUAUACAUAAAUAAUAGUUUUUUGACAAUUUAAUUUACAUAUAUUCAUUAAGAUAAAGUAGUUACCGGAAAGUUGAUAACUAUCUAUUCUAAUAAACGAAUGUUUUUUUUAUUACAUGUCAUAUUCUCAUUCAAUUUGUCAAAUGUCAUUUCGUGGCUGUUUUGAAUUAAUUUUUUUCCACACAUCAUUUUAUGGGUUUUUCUAUUUUAAUAAAUUACACAUAAUACUUUAAUGUAAUAAUGACAAUAAAUAUAUUAAUAAACAAAUAUCAAUUUCAUUAAUGAACUUACAUUCUUAUUUCAAAAUUCUCAAAUUAAAGUUCAUUAUUUUAUUUUGUUUAUUUGUUUAAAUUUAAAAGAUAAAAAAAUCAAUUUUAAUAAUUUAUUACUUUUUUUCUUAUAAAUCCAAAGUUCUUAAAUAUUUAAACCUUUAUAUAUAUANAUCAAUUUAAAUAAUUAAUUAUUUUUCUUAUUUUCUUAUAAUUCCAAAGUUCUUAAAUAUUUAGACUUUUAUAUUUAAUUUUUUUAAUUAACCCAUGUAAUACAUGGAUCUUACACCUAGUUUGUUAUAUAAACCAAUAUUUGAUUCUAAAGUUUUUUUUAAUACAUUGUAUUAUAUAAAUAUACCAAACAUAUAACAUUUUAUCCUAAAUUCUCCUACAUUAUUUUAUGAUGUAAAAAUAAUAUAUUAUAUUUAAAUAUUAUAAUUAACAUGUGUAUUAAACUUUAAUUAAAAUGGGAAAGUAAUUUUGAUUGUAUAUACGCAUCAUUUUUUUUAGUUAAAUGUCAUGUUAAAUUUUAGUUUGAAGGUGGAACUUGACACAUCAUUUUAUUAUUAUUUUUAUUAUAUUUGGGAUUAUGCUAUAAGUACUUCAUUAACUAAUUUUACCUCUCCCCCCACCCAUCCUACAUCAAUCUAAUCAAUCUUUUACUUUUGAUUUGACAUCAUUUUUUUUGUUUUUAUCUUUUUUUGUUUUUAUCUUUUUUUGUUUUAUUAUCAUUAUUACUAUUAUUAUUAUUAUUGAUUUCGAUAACCAUUUAAAAUACGGACAACAUUUUAAAAUUCGGCCAACAUUAUAAAAUUUGAACGACUAUAUAAAAUGGAACAAAAGUAAAGUUUGUUUUUGAUCCGCUUACCAUGCAUAUGUAAUACCGAACCAAUUAAUAUAUCCAUGAUAAAUAAAGACAAACUUUGUUUUUGUUAUGUUUUAUAUAGUCGUUCGAAUUUUAUUAUGUCGUCCGAAUUUAUAAUGUCGUCAGAAUUUUAAAAUUUUAACCGAAUUUUAAAAUGUUGUCCGAAUUUUAUACGGUUAUCGAAAUUUAUAACAACAACAACAACAACAACAACAACAACAAUAAUAAUAAUAAUAAUAAAACAAAAAACAAAAUAAGAAAAAAAAACAACAAAAGACAAAAAAAAUCACAUAAGAAUGAUGGAAUUAAAAAAUGAGAUAAGGUAUUUAUAGCAUUAGCCAUUACAAAAGGGAACUGAUAUUUCCACUGUAAAUUUUAAUCCAUCCACUGAGAUUUAUUUGAAUUGCCCAUUAUACCAUUCUAUUAAAGUUUUUAGAUAUUACAGGGAAAAAGAUUCUAGGGCUAACGACGCUCCUUCCUUAUUUGAUCUUGCUUUCUCAUCGGCGCAAAUUCUUCAUCUCAUUCUCAAAAGGUAAGUGAUCCUCAUUAUCUAAUUAUGUUUAAACCAUGUGUAUGUGUAAGAAUUUUCAAUCUCUGAUUCUCAAACACCUUUCAUUGCUAUGUGAAUGAAUUGUCGAAGUUUAAAGUUUUGAUCGAUUGAACAUAUUGAUUCUCUGUGCGUAUGACUAUGAUUCUCUGUACAUGAGUAUGAAUUGUGAAAUUUUUUUAUUAUAUGAAUUGUCAAUUCUCUGAUUCUUUAAUUUGUCUGCAACAAGAGCUUGGUAGUCAUAAACUUAGUCUUCAAAAAAAUGGUGCAAGUCACCUUACGUUGUAAUAUUGAAGACUGGAAACUCCAAUAACAAUUGACAUCACAGGUUUGGGUGAAACUGUUUCAGUUGAUUACUCUUAGCCGAUGGAUAUAGAAGGCAAGAAACGAAUUAAUUCUUAACAGGAAAAUAUCUUCACCAGUACGUUCAUAUUUGAUAAUGUUGUAUCUUUGGUGCUUGCAUGGCUUAAACAUAGGGUAGGGGUGGGGGGAAGGAAAAGAUGGAAUAGUCGGUGUAUAUCUCCUUUCCAUUAAUUGUAAAUACUUGGUGCUUUUUUUUUCUUUGUCUUCGUACUAGCCUUUCUACUUUGCAAAGUUUAUAAAAUUCUUGCCGGUUCAAAAAAAACUAUUAUGCACAAGGAUGAUUUUAUCAUAAUCACUGUGCAGAAUUUGUUGGAUAUAGGUCUACACAUGAUAAAAAGCAAAUGAACUAUACAUGAAAAAAUAAAGAACAGAGGCUCAAAAUAUGGGACCAUUAUUUGAGUUUUUAGUUAUCUAUUUUAAUCUCAAACUAGUCCUACUAUGCUGAAAAUAAAAUGCAACAAAUAAACCCACGUACUCUUCCUAGACUGCUGCCACUAUUCCCUUAUUCUACACCAAACUGCCUCAGACUAUGACCAAUUCUUUUGCUCCAAGUUUAUAUUAAAAACAACUAGAUUAACCGAACAUAAUUCACCAAACCACUUUGAAAUUCAAGACUUAUAGCUUUGUGGAGGGAUGCAACAAAUUUACCAAUGACCAGUAUUUUUUGACACUCGCCUCCAUUUGAAGCUUGAAGCAGCGAAGGAAAAAGAUGCGCUGCUGGAGAUUGCAUCACAAAACCACGAUCUUGUAAUUUGGAAACAAUAUUUCAUGGGAUAUUUCUCUCUCUUCAAUAUCAUUUUCUUUAAAUGAAGGGCAUAUUUGUCAUUAUAUUAAUUUUUCAGUGGAAAAAGUAAAAGCCACAGUGGAAAAAUCAAUACCCCUCCAAAAGUUUUCGAUUAAUCACGUGAUACUGCUAACGAGUUAAGUGGCAUAAACUACGCAUAAGAGUGUCAACUUUUAUUUCAAAAGUCAACAAAAUCCGUCUAACCUUAUCCAUGUGAUGGGCAGAACAAAUUAGUUACACGCAUAAACCUACACUAAACGGACGAGGAAAUUAUUGUAUGUUUAAAUAAUAAUGGUUUUUUUUUUCGUGUUUAUUAUAUGAUAUAUUAACAAGAUGAUCCGGAAAAUUUCCCUUUCAAAUUCUAAAUGCUUCGCUGAAAUCGUAUAAAAAGAAUAUAUUAAUGUCAAGGUUUAUUUUAAGAGUCGUAUUUUUAGAGGUCACAUAUUUUUUUUUGAACAGUCAAGUUUAUUAUAAUUAACAAGAUGCUAGAUAAAAAUCAGUAUUACAAGGAAUUGAUAUAAAUGAUAGAGUUUUGCAAUCUAUCGACCCAAAGAAAGAACAAGUGAUAAACAAGUCUAUCGAUAAUACCGUAUUUUCUCGGCAUUCUAGAUCUAAAGAUCAACUCAUCUCGGAAAUUCCAUAUCAACCAUAGCAAAGUAAGAACCAUCGCAUUAAAACAUCAUUUAUGGUUGUUGCUCAUAGGGAUGAGCGUGGUCCACGAAUCUGACCAAAAUUCAAAUUCUACCAAAACCAAAUCAAUUUUUUUUACGAACUGUAGACUAUCGGAUAUGUAUAUCUAGUCUCUGAUUUGUUUCGGUUUUGGUCGGUGGUCAAUCCAAGAUUCAAUCUCACAUGUGUUUAACUUGAUUAAUGUGACAAAAUUAAUAGGUUGAAAAAGUUUGUUUAUUGGAUCUGAUUAUUAAUAAUAUUUUGAGAUUUAUUAAGUGUUUAUAUGGAUUGAAAGACUUAAAAAUUUUGAAUUUUAAACGUGUUGUGUGCUUCUCAAACCUCUAACUUUUAGAGGUGAUUUUAAUAUAUUCCAAAAAUAUCUAAAUAUUUGAUUUAAAAAUCAAGAGUAGAAACUACUUCCAUUGAUCAUAAACUAACAAAAGUCCAGAAGGAUUGGAAGUAAAGAUCGGAAGUGUUUGCAAAACUAAUUAUUCACAUAUAUAUUAUUGCUAAAAAAAAUAAAACUUCUAAAAAAAAAAUCAAAGAAUCAUAGAUGUCCAUAUAAGAAAAUGAGAAGUGUUCAUUUAAAAAUAUGGUACAAUAUCAAUUUAUUUUUCAAAUCAAGGGAUAUCUACUUAGGACUGAAUAUUUUGUCAAAAACGUCCAAGUCAAAAACCUAAAGUAAUGAAAUUCUUGACAUACACUAAAUAUCUUUGGCACCAAUCCUGAGUUUUCUUACUCAGUUAAUAAAUAUUAUAAUGAUAUUAUUUAUGGCAUAUAUGCCAAAAUAAAUGUCGACAACAAUUCGUUGGGAAAUGGAAAGUAUGAACUAUGAGGAAUAAAAAUUUAUUGGAGGUUUUGAGGUUUGACAGCGUAAACUCAUGUUGUUCAUGGCCUACUCCAACUCAAGUAUAGUGACCCAUUAUGGGCUACUUCAAUGGCCCAAAACAGGGGAUCACAAUGUGGAUAUAUUAUCAAAUUUUCAUAAUAGGGUAAUUUGAUUCAUAUUCAUCUAUACCAAAUAUUAUCAAAUAUUAUCAAUCUUGAACUCGUUUUGUUGAGAGAUGUCUCUCCCACAUUUUUUUCAGUUGCAAAAAACAGCAUUGACUUAUUAGUAAAAUUUUAUUACUUGACACCUGAACAAUCAAGAAAAUAAGAAUCACUCUACCCAAAAAGAUAAGUCGUUGUUCAUUUUGUGAUUCAUGCGUCGACCACUUAUUCAUCUCCUUGGUUGUGGAUGGAAUUGAAUUUGAUUCAAAUUUCAUUUUUCUUGUUUCAUGUUUCUACAAAUUCAAUGUUAUCGAAUUUAGUAUGCAAUAAUUAUUUUAUAUUAUCAUCAAGAAUAUGUAGUCACUAACGACUAUAAGAAUUUGGAUGACACACAAUUAAAGCAACAAUUCAAACAAUGAAGAUAUCAAAAUUUAAAAGGAGUUCGCAGUUUAAUUAAAAAACGAAACUAUAUCAAGGAAUAUCAUGUGUGUUACUGUUGUUUAUUUUUGAGAAAAUGAUAAAAUUAGCCAAAUACACUAAUCACCUUACAAAUUUAGCUAAAAAAUUGAAAUUGCAAAAAUAACCACUGAAUUCGCAGAUAGAAAAGCCCCAUCUGCGAUUUUGGCUUUCCAUCUGCGAAUGUACAAGUGCCUAAAGCACAUCUGUGCUUUAGGCACUUGUACAUUCGCAGAUGAAAUUUUUUUUUCAAUUUUUUUUGUGUAUAUAUAGUGUUUUAGCAGACUUAAAUCGCAGAUGGACACAGUCCAUCUGCGAUUUCCUCUCCAGUUCAUCUGCGAAAUAAUGUUUUUUUUUAAUUUUUUUUUUUAAUUUUGACUAUGAAAUCAAUUGGUUUGACUACGAAAUAACCUUACUAUAUAUAAACUUUUGUAGAAAAUUAUCAGUUUAGUUGGUAUUUCUUUUGGAAAUUUCUUUAAACUCUCUCUAAAAAAUGAUUGAAUAUCUGGUUUGUCUUGUAACCGGUGGGAAAUGGCAAGUAACCAAACACUCAAAUCUGGAAUACGUAUGUCCACAAGGAGGUAUUUCUGAAUUCACGUUCAUAUUUUAUGAGUAUAUUAGUUAUAGUGAAUUUGUAUAUCUGGUGAGAAGCAAAAUUGGUUUGUUAGACAAAUAUAGAAUUAGUCUUCGUUUCCAUCAUCCUGAAUUGAACUAUCAUAUAACUAUAGUUGAAGAUAUGUAUGUUAGAAUGUUGAUAAAUGUAAUCAAAUGUAGUGAAGGAAGGGCUGUGAAAGUGUUUGUGGUGGUUGAUGAAGGAGAUUUGGUUAAUGAGGCUGGUCAAUUUCAUAGUGUUGAUGAUGUUAAUGAGGUUGGUAAUCUAUGCAAUUAUAAAUGGAGCAACGAUCCGAUAAGUACUUUCAAUACUCCCAGUGUACCUCAAUUUCAUAGUGUUGCUGAAAAUGUUAAUGGUAGUUAUUCACCUAUUAACUAUGUGGACCUGAGAAUUNUACAAGUAUGUUGGUGAUGAUGAUGUUGGUACAUAUCUUAAUGACGUGGGUGGUCGUUGUUUUGAUGUUCCCGAACAAGAAGUUAAAGUUAUGAAUAGGCGUGUAGUAGAUAAAAGUAAAAAGAAAAAAAAAUAUGCGUCAAAAGAUGAAAAAAAGCAUGUUUAUGGGGAUUAUGUUGAUAUUGUUGAUGUAGGUUUAGAUAUAACCGAAUUAAAAAAACAAUUCAGAUGGAGAUGAGUUGGGUGAUGAAUUCAAAGUUAAGUUUCCCGAUAACCUUUUUUACGGUAUACCCCCUCUACCAGAAUGUCCAGUUGAUAUUAAUGAAGAUAUCCCAACACAGAUGGUAGACAUCAAUCUUCAAAAGAUUGAAUGUGAGAGUAUAUUUAAGAACAAAGAACUUUUAAAGCGGUGUAUUGGUAAAAAAUGUCUUCGAGAAGGUUUUCAGACGAGGAUAAGUAUAUCCACCAAAUCAAGGUAUGAGGUUGUAUGUGUUUCGAAAAAUUGUUCUUGGUUACUAAGACCGAAAGCAAUUAAAAAUUCUGAUGAACUUUUCCAAGUGAAUAAAUUUGUUGAUGUACACACAUGUUCUUCAACAAUUUUGCAACCUAAUCAUCGGCAAGCAAACAAAUAUGUUUUGGGUGAAUAUCUUGCUGAUGUUUUGGCUGAAGAUUAUAGUAGAGUUUAUCGGGGAAAAUAUAUUGUUAAUGAUAUGAAUGCUCAAUUGAAUAUCAAUAUCUCAUACCAUUAGACAUGGUGUGCGAAGCAAUAUGCAUUGUUGUCGUUAAGGGGUACGAAAGAGGAUUCUUUUACCAAACUUCCGGCUUAUUUCCACAACUUGGUCAAACAUAAUCCGGGUACGGUGACACAUAUUAAAACAGAUGGUGAUGAUCGCUUUGAGUUUUUGUACGUCGCACUUGGUUGUUCGGUUAGUAUUUAAAUAUUUUAUUAUUUUUUCCGUUUUUUUAGUGUAUUUGAAUAGAUAUAUACAAUGUAUUGUAGGUACGCGCUUUUGUCAAUUUCUAUAAACCGACCCUUGUAGUAGAUGGAGCCCACCUAAAGGGCGAGUUCAAAGGAACCAUGUUACUUGCAGUUACCAAGGACGGACAAAACCAAAUAUUACCGGUUGCAUAUGGUAUCUGCAAAAAUGAGUGUACAGAUUUUUAGACAUUGUUUUUUCAAAAACUACGUGAUUGCAUAGGCAAUAUGUAGGAGCUUACAAUUAUAUAUGAUAGGUCUCCAUCUAUAGCAACAUCCGUUGCCAACAUUUUUCCUCACGCUCAUCACGGAAUAUAUGGUGUCCAUUUGUAUUUCAACAUAGUAUCUAGAUUCGGGAAGAGUAACACAGUUAAAGGAAUUUUUUGGGAGGUUUGUAGGGCGUACACAGUUGAUGCUUUUAACGCUGCCAUGGAUGUUAUGAAAAAGACAAAAGAACGAGUAUGAGAGUACUUAAAAAGUAUAAAUCCAGAAACUUAGUCUAGGGCACAUUUUAGAGGGAACCGAUACAAUCUAAUGUCGUCCAACAGUGAAGAGUCUAUAAAUGCAUUAUCGAGACACGCACGUAAGGUGCUAAUACUUAUAUUGAUCGAUUUUUUUUUCGUGCAACAACAAUCCGUCCCCUUGUAAACGAGGGGCGGAACCAAAUACGGUAUCUCUAAAUAUAUCACGUCUGACACCAUCUAACACUUCAAAUACUUCCCAUAUAUUACACCCCGAUCUUUUUAAGUUUACAAUUGCUUUCACAUUGAAAUUAUUAUAAUCAUGUUGCACAAAACACAAUAACAUAUUAGAGAACUAAACAAAUAUUUCAUUUUAAAAUAUAUGAUUAUUAAGUGGAAUAAUAACAUAAACAAUAAUAACAAUGCAAAUACAAAUAUUUAAUAAAUAAUUUAUAUAUUUAUGCUAAAAAACAAUAUCAUAUUAUAACAGUUUUUCAACUUAAACGACAAAUAUAUAAACAAUUUUUCAAGUUAUACGACAAAUAUACAAACAAUUUUUAACUUUCAAAUUAUAUAAAAUAACAUUUUCUAACCAUAUAAACAAACAAUUUUUCAACUAAAACGACAACUAAAUUAACAAUUUUUCAAGUUAUUCGACAAAUAUACAAACAAUUUUUAACUUUCAAAUUAUAUAAAAUAACAUUUUCUAACCAUACUAUAAAAUCUUUUCUACUAAAACAACAAAUAUAUACAAAAUUUCAAGUUAUACGACAACUAUACAAACGACUAUUGUACACAUAUUAUAAAAUUUUCUAACCAUACUAUAAAAAAAUUUAUACUUCACCAACAAAUAUAUACAAAUCUUCAACUUAUACGACAAAUAUAUAUACAAACGACUAUUCUAUACAUACUGUAAACAUUAUUUUAACCAUUUUUCAAUUUAUAAAGACAAUUACACGAUAAGAAUAUACAAAUUUUCAAGUUAUACAACAACUAUACAAACGACAAAUAAUAUAUUCUAACCAUGCUAUAUCAAUUUAUCAAAUUAAACCACUAACCAAAACAUUAUGUAAACAUUAUUCUAACAAUUUAUUUAACUAAUAAAUUAAAAAAAUUAGCAUAUUCUAACCAUUUUACUAAAUGUACAACCACCCGAUGCACACUCUACACAGUCUCUACUUAUACAUUCAUACGACUACUAACAAAAUAGCAUUUAAACUUCAAGUUUACUAAUAACAAAUAUUAAAACUAUCAAAUACAACAAACUUACCCUAUCACAAACAAUAUAAUUUCAUUUUUUUACACUAACUAAUAAAAUAAAUAAUAAAAUAAUAAAGACAUAUACUAAAUAAAUGUUAAUUAAAACAUAAAAAGAGUUAAAAUCUAACCAUACUUGCGGGAUUAUUGAAAUAAUCCUCAAUUUUCUUCAAAAAAUCGUCAAAAGGAAUCCCCGAGAGAGAAAGUUUUUCUGUAUUGAAAAGUGAAAAAUGAAGAAAAAAAACGUUUUAUAGAGUUUUCAGUAGAAAAUCGCAGAUGAACAGUGCAAAUCGCAGAUGGAAAGCCAAAAUCGCAGAUGGGGCUUUUCCAUCUGCGAAUCCAGUGGUUAUUUUUGCAAUUUCGAUUUUUUUUUGCUAAAAUUGUAAGAUGAUUAGUGUAUUUGGCUAAUUUUGUCAUUUUCUCUUUAUUUUUCCCUGCUUUCCAGUUUAAUGGAUAUCAUUGUCAUGUAAAACACAAUUACCAAAGGGCUUGUAGCCCAGCGGUAUCAGGUGGUGUCCUCCCUCUUUUAGGUCGAGGGUUCAAGUCUCGUUGUGGACAUAGAUGGAAUAGGUGUUGUUAGCUUAGGAGUAGAUUAGAUUUGUCGGUUCAAAAAAAAAAUGUAAAACACAAUUAAUGAUGAAUAAAUCGAUUUGGACUGAUUCUUUUUUACCAAUGAAAUGGGUCAUAAAAAGUGAAAACUAAAACCGACAAUUCUAACCUUUGUUAAACAAUUUGAUUACAAAACCUCUGAUUUGGUGAAACGAAAUGUAGUCUGGUGGCAAAAGUUAUCCAAUGAUUUCAAUUUCUAUCUACAUAAUUCAAAAGACCAGAAAAUUGUAAUCAGCAAAUUACCAAAAAAAUUCAAUAAGUUAAAGGUUUAAUAGUUAUUAUAUGUGGUUGAAAGAAAGAAAAAUCGAUGAUAAAAAAACAAAAGUUUGCUCACCAAGACUAGGGAUCUCCAUAGGAGGUGGACGGCUCUUAUUUUUUGGUCCCACUUGUUCAGGUAUACUUGUGGGGACAAUGGCUACAUAAGUUUCUAUCUAGGGAUGGAAAUGGGGCGGGGUUGACCAUCCUUGUCCCCAUCUCCGAGUGUCUAACAUCGUCUCCAUCCUCAUCCCUAUCCCCGACGGAUGCGGGGAAUCAAAUUUCCUCCCCUUUGUAUUUUGGGCUUCUCCCCAACUGAUCCCCGACCCAUCCUCAAUCUAUCAACAUAAUAAACUCAACUUAAAAAAAAAUUAAUUAAUUAUCAAAACCAUAUCUCAUAAUUAGAUUCUGUUUAUAUCAAUCAUAAAAUUUUAACAAGCAUCAAAACCAAAAUCAACAAUUUGAUACACAGAUCGUCGAACAAAGUGACGAUUGAUAAACUCUUGGAUAUGGAAACAUAAUUUGGUAUAUAGACUCUAUCUCUGAUGGUCUAAUAUAGAUCAAAUCAUUUUAGUGGGCUUAAUUUAAAUUCAAUAAAUGAUCGAUAUACUAAGUGGGGGCGGGGCGGGUUGGGGAUUGUUNCAUCAAAGUGGGGGCGGGGCAGGUUGGGGAUUGUUAUACCCGGCCCCAUCCCCAUCCCCAGUUUUAGCAUAAUGGGAUCCCUAACUCCGUACCCGGUACCCGUUUUGACAGGGAAUACCUGUCCCCGAUUGGGGCGGGUUAACCGGGUUCCCCACCGGGUCGGUAAAAUUUCCAUCCCUAUUUCUAUCUAACAUGGUGAAAUUAUUUCAGCCAAAGUUGUUAAAAUCGUGAACUUAUUUAAGAUCCUUUUUUACUUUGCAAAAUCAUAAUCAUAAAAUCGAAUCGGGAUCGUAAGAUUAUAUACACACACACACACACUCACUAGACAUCUACCCGCACAAAGCAGUGGCGGCAAAUAGUUUCAUUCGACAAUUAGUUUCUUUCGAUAAUUAGUUCGAUUCGAUAAUAUGUUAUAUUUCAAGGAACACAAAAUCGAUACAUAAUGUUAUCAGUCGGUUUUACGGCAAAAAUAGUUUCCUUUCGUCAAAUAGUUUAUUUUGGCGAUUAUAUUCAUUUCAACGAUUAAUUUCUAUAAGGAAACACAUCACCUUCCAAAGAGCAUGCAAUGUAUCGAAAUGUGUUUUGCAUCCCACAAAGACCGGGCACAUUGUUAUGGUAUGCUCAUGAUUAUCCCAAAUAUCAGUUUGAGGUUUGCUAACUUUUUUUUAUUAAUAAUAUCAUUCUUGAAAUUAUAUCAAGUAUCCAACUAAACAUCAUUCAUGUAGCUACACUUAGUCCCACUAACUACUUCAUGAUUCGUAGGAUAACUCAUAGCAAUUCUUGUUGAAAGUUGUAUGAAUUUACCAUAAAAAACGUAAUUGAUAACCAUUGUAAAGAAGAUAAAAAAAUUUCUAUUUCUAUAAAGAAUAGCUAACCAUAAAUUUUGUAAAAGUAGCAUUAUCAAAUAAAACAAUUAUAAAUAUUGAUUCCUAUUGCUAUUAGUGUGAAUUGAGGCAAUCCCCAUUAAAAACAAUGGAUUUGUCGAGCCAAAUAAGAACAAUGGCAGUAUAUAUAGAAAAAGUUAAGUUUAGCAAUUGGAAUUCAAACCUAUCUCAAGGGCCAAAUUGUCAAAAUCAUGGAAAAUAUUUAUUACUCAACCGAAUUUAAGUUAUAGACAAACCACGAGCAACUCUAUAUAAUGUCCUCAAAUCCAAAUCAACAUCAAGGACAAACUCGUCCAGUUAAGGGAAAAUUUACAUUACUAAACCAAUUCAGCCAUAAUCAAAACAGUAACAUCAAAAAUUACAAGUAAGCAUCAACUGUACGUAAAUUUCCAAAACAAUUUUUUAUUUUUAAACCAUACUUUUAAUCAUCAAACAGUAUUAAAACAUAAAGUAUCCAAUGUCAUCAUCACAAAAACAAUUCCCAGAAUCUCAAACAUAAUCUCUAUGAGUGUGUACAGGUCAUGUCGGCGUUUUCCCGUGAUCCUCGCUAGUACCUGAAACACAUAACACAACAACUGUAGGCAUAAAUGCUUAGUGAGUUCCCCAAAAUACCGCAUACAACACAUACGCCUUUCCAGGCCAUAACUCUGUGGGACCUUCCGGUCCAAGUAUCUCAAGGGACUUCCGUCCCAAAUCCCGGUUGACCUUCCGGUCCUACCCGUAUUGACCUUCCGGUCCAUGUCCUCUUGACCUUCCGGUCCAUAUCAUCUUGACCUUCCGGUCCUUUUCAUACAUAACACAUACAUAUCACAUAUCAGCAUAUAUAACACAUAUAAGACCUUCUGGUCACACAUAAGUACCCUUCCAGGUACAGUAUAGUGAGAAGACUCACCUCAAUGAAGUCGAAUAACUCUCGUGCUCAACGUCCCGACCUAGCCUCCUCCUACCAUUCAAAUAACAUCCCCGGUGAAUACUCUCUCAUAGUCUCAUCUUUAAAGAUUGGGUAGAAGGUCAUUCUACCCCUUCCUGAACUCUCUUGAAUCAGUCUUGACCAGAACCCUAAGGUCAACGAAAUUCAAUGGUCAAACUUUGACCCGAAUCGUCGAGUACACAUGGGCGACCCGACGAGUCCAUGCGGGUCCUCUGAACCCUUCCAACCUCUCUUGUCUUGUCGAGUCAUCCUUCCACUCGACGGGUUCCUCCUGUCACGAAUCGCGGGGCAACCCCGACUCGACUCGUCGAGUCCACUUAUGAACUCGGCGAGUCGCUUCUAUGGCCACACUCAAAUGACCUUCUAAGGUCAGAUCUGCUUCUCUAAUCUAUAGAUUUAAUCUUCCCAAGCAUGAUAAUCAUGUAAAGGUCGAAUAUUGGUACACAUGCAACACACCCAAAGCUUCUUUUGGUGAAAUAACCUCUAAAAUGGCCUCCUAGGCUCAUAACUCAAAAGGUAUGGCAUAAAGCAAAGUGGUAAGGACUCUCUGGACCUCUUAAGGUCCAGAUCUAUGAACCAACUCGCUUUGGGACCUCACAUACUCCAGAUUCAACUAAAAGAAGCAUAAAGAAAACCCUAGAUUUCACUAGAAUCAUUAUGAACAUGAGAAUGACACAGAUUAUUACCUCCAACAUCUUCCUCUGACCAAAUAGAAAUGGAUCCAAGCUCCUCAACCCGCCUAGCUUGUUCUACCUCCUUCCUUCUUGCUAAAACACACAAGAAAUGGUGAAUUAGCCUUCUUCUUGCACCACAAAUGAUCUCUAUGCUCUCUAGGGUUUUCAGGGGAGUAAUGGCCGGAAAUGGAGGCCAUAAAGGCCUUUAAAUAGGGCACAGUCGCACAGACCCCGAGAAUUAGGGUUUCAUUCCACAAUGCGAACUCGUCGAGUCCACCUUGCCGACUCGUCGAGUCCGUUCAUUAAUCUAGUCAGCAAGUCGCGGUCCUACUCGACGAGUCCACGACUCGACUCGUCGAGUCCCUCUCUUUACUAAAAAAAAUUGAACAUAAUACUUGAAACUCCAGGUGUUAAAAUUCUCCCCCACUAGAAUCAGACUUCGCCCCCGAAGUCAUGAUCCGCAAACAACUCUGGAUGCUACUCCCGCAUCUCCAACUCCGGCUCCUAAGUCAGCUCGGACCCUUUCCGAUGUUGCCACUGGACCUGAACCAGGGACACCUCCUUGUUCCUCAAAACCUUGAUCUUCCAAUCCCGAAUCGUGAUUGGCCUCUCAACAUAAUUUAGGUUCGCAUCCACCUAAAUAUUCUCCAGCGGCACUACCGCCGACUCGUCGGCUAUACACUUCCUCAACUGAGACACGUGGAAGGUAUCAUGAAUCUGACUCAACUCCGUAGGUAGCUCCAACCGAUAUGCUACCAUGCCUACCCUCGCAGUCACCCUGAACGGCCCAAUAUACCGGGGCCCCAGCUUGCCCCUCUUCCUAAAACGAAUCACUCUUUUCUGUAACGCCCGCAAAUCUGGGCUAGUCAAAUUAGAGGCAAUAGGGGUCGAAAACGACUUUUUGACAAAAGAUUAUUUAGAAUAAANGGUCGAAAACGACUUUUCGACAAAAGAUUAUUUAGAAUAAAUAAUCUUAACCAAGUUGUAGAGUAUGUUACAAGGUUUUCGUACAUAUAAAGAACGCCGAAAACCGAGUUAUAACGAAGAAGUUAUGACCCGUUGAAGUUUCGCGACGGAACCGGCACGAUACCGGGAAGCGUAAAUAGUGAAUUUACGAUAGAGCGAGAUUUAGACUUAGUGAUCUAAACGAAAUUCGUAGAAUAUGUUAAACUAAGAACAUCGAUAAAAGGAACGCCCAAAUCUGACUUCGUAUGAGGAAGUUAUGAUUUUUCUAAGAUUUAGCAUAGCAGUGCACAGCCCGAAAUCUGAAUUUUAGAUCGGUCGAUUUUUAGCCGACGGGAUCUAAAUGAAAGUUGUAGUACUCGUAAAUACCAACGCGUGGAUAUAAAGAACGUCGAUAAUAGAGCUCGUAUGCAAAAGUUAUGGACGAAGCUUAGUCCCUACUUUUCGAGCGCGGCGAAUUCGAUACAGUUUUGUAAAUACGAGAUAAAAUGAGAAUUAGCCAACGAGGUCUAAAUGAGAGUUGAAGAUCUCAUUAAUAGGAACUCAACGG